CUUCCUUAGAACUGUCCAGGCAUGCUUAAUUUUUGUUGGAAUGAUACAGAGAAGAUUAGUGUGGCCCCUGCACAUCAAAGAUGACACGCACAUUUCUGAAGCGUUAGGGUUAGAG
rnacentral:snRNA from 1 species